rnacentral:misc_RNA from 1 species
UUAAGUUCAGCGGGUAUCCCUACCUGAUCCGAGGUCAAGCGUGUUAAAAUAGCCUUGAUGGAUGCUAGUGAUGUGGGCUGGAACCGCAAAUUGUGCUGCGCUUCAAUACCAAUACACUGGCUGCCAAUAUUUUUGAGGCGAGUCCCAACACAAGAGGAGAGGACAAACACCCAACACCAAGCAAAGCUUGAGAGUACAAA